AUACGUAGGGGGCGAGCGUUGUCCGGAAUGGUUGGGCGUAAAGGGCGCGUAGGCGGCCCGGUAAGUCUGGAGUGAAAGUCCUGUUUUUAAGAUGGGAAUUGCUUUGGAUACUGUCGGGCUUGAGUGCAGGAGAGGUAAGUGGAAUUCCCAGUGUAGCGGUGAAAUGCGUAGAGAUUGGGAGGAACACCAGUGGCGAAGGCGACUUACUGGACUGUAACUGACGCUGAGGCGCGAAAGUGUGGGGAGCAAACAGGAUUAGAUACCCUGGUAGUCCACACUGUAAACGAUGAAUGCUAGGUGUAGGGGGUAUCGACCCCUUCUGUGCCGCAGUCAACACAAUAAGCAUUCCGCCUGGGGAGUACGGCCGCAAGGUUGAAACUCAAAGGAAUUGACGGGG
rnacentral:rRNA from 1 species